GUCUUCUUGACUGGAUAAUAAGAAGUCUGACCUGCCCAGUGAAAAAUUAUUUAACGGCCGCGGUAUUUUGACCGUGCAAAGGUAGCAUAAUCAUUAGUCUUUUAAUAGAGGGCUGGUAUGAAAGGUUUGACGAGGUGCUGACUGUCUCAUUUAAUUUGAAAUUAAAAUUUAACUUUUCAGUUAAAAGGCUGAAAUAAUAUUGGAAGACGAGAAGACCCUAUAGAGCUUUAUAUUUAAUUUUAUUAAUAAUUUUUUGAGUAUUAAUUUUUAUUAUUAAUUUAAGUAUUUUGUUGGGGUGACAAAAAUAUAAAAUUAACUUUUUUAUCUAUUAGACAUUAAUUUAUGAUUAUUAGAUCCAAUCUUAUUGAUUGUUAGAAUAAGUUACCUUAGGGAUAACAGCGUAAUCUUCCUCCAGAGUUCAUAUUUACAGGAAGGCUUGCGACCUCGAUGUUGGAUUAAGAUAAUAAUUAGGUGUAGCCGCUUAAUAUAUAGGUCUGUUCGACCUUUAAAUUCUU
rnacentral:rRNA from 1 species